AUAUAGGAGCUGCCGGCCGUGGCCGGCUAUGGCGAUAAAGCCUGCCCGGAAUAGGCGCGGCGGACCCGGGGGCAGUACCCGGCGCCUCCACCAACGCCGUUUCGCUCGCGGGGGCGAAAUAGGUUCGACGCCGCGUGGCAAAGGGGCAGAGUUCGCCCGGCAUGGUACCGCCGUUAUCGGGCCACCCUUACAAGUGCCAACGAUAACCGUUUGGCUCUCGCUGCCUAACGCUUAGGUAAGCGCGGCCGGGAGAGGCCGGGCAACAGAACUCUCCCGACAAGUCCGGGGACUUCGGUCCCCGGCGCGGCUCGGAGGGCGC
rnacentral:tmRNA from 1 species